GCUUACGGCCAUACCACCCUGAGAACGCCCGAUCUCGUCUGAUCUCGGAAGCUAAGCAGGGUCGGGCCUGGUUAGUACUUGGAUGGGAGACCGCCUGGGAAUACCAGGUGCUGUAAGCUUUC
rnacentral:rRNA from 1 species